rnacentral:rRNA from 1 species
CAGUCGCCACGGGAAUACAGAGGGUGCGAGCGUUAAUCGGAUUUACUGGGCGUAAAGCGUGCGUAGGCGGCUUUUUAAGUCGGAUGUGAAAUCCCUGAGCUUAACUUAGGAAUUGCAUUCGAUACUGGGAAGCUAGAGUAUGGGAGAGGAUGGUAGAAUUCCAGGUGUAGCGGUGAAAUGCGUAGAGAUCUGGAGGAAUACCGAUGGCGAAGGCAGCCAUCUGGCCUAAUACUGACGCUGAGGUACGAAAGCAUGGGGAGCAAACAGGAUUAGAUACCCGCGUAGUCCCUGUCUCUUAUAA